rnacentral:rRNA from 1 species
UACGUAGGGUGCAAGCGUUAAUCGGAAUUACUGGGCGUAAAGCGUGCGCAGGCGGUGAUGUAAGCCAGAUGUGAAAUCCCCGGGCUCAACCUGGGAACUGCAUUUGUGACUGCAUCGCUGGAGUGCGGCAGAGGGGGAUGGAAUUCCGCGUGUAGCAGUGAAAUGCGUAGAUAUGCGGAGGAACACCGAUGGCGAAGGCAGUCCCCUGGGCCUGCACUGACGCUCAUGCGCGAAAGCGUGGGGAGCAAACAGG